CUGAGAUCUAGGGGUCAAGGGAGUGACGUCAAGGCUGUGAUUAUGGGCUGGGGCCAGGUUUGUGGAGUUAGGGGAUUCAGUCAAAGGUCAAAGCGAGGCGCCUCCCGUUCCCCCUCUCUUUACUGGGUCAUUCCCACCCCCAUACAAACAGGCUGGCUCCCAGCUUAAAAACAGGACAUAAACAAAAGAUCCUCUUCCUUUAAUGGUAGAAUUGUCAUGUCACCAUUUUGCAGCCCUUAUUGGAAUAUUGGUGGUUCUAGACAAGGACUCUCAUUCCCUCCUAACGUCAUGAAAGAGGGACAACUGGAUUUAAUGUGCCUCCUGCUAGAAGGCACCCUCAACUGAGAGGUCAUUUGCCAAAAAGCGGAACGUGAAUCCGAUCAGAUUUGUCUAGAUUCAUACACCAGGUUACCAGAAAUACCAAGGACAGAAUCGCAUCAUCAAAAUUCAGACAGAGGGAAAGUCCACAAGACAAACAACGAUGUUUCUCCAACAGGUGAAUUUCAAGGAAAGAGAAGAAAAAGAGGGAGAGAUUGAGAGAUUAAGGGGAAACCUGCAGUAAUAAGACACUUAAAGGUUUAUCAACCAGCGGCAAUGCCUGCACCUUAUUGGGAUCCUGACUGGAACAAACUAAAAAAAAGAAAUAGCGACAACCAGGGAAAUUUUGACAUGGGUUGAAUAUUCGACCAUGCUCUUUGUCAACCUCCUCACCACCCCACUGGCAUCUACCUCCCACCCUUUCAAGCCCCAUGGGAACUGAUCUGGGGUGAGAUGCCCGUGUCCAUCAUGGACAGAGUCCCAUCCACUGCUUCAAUUCCGAUGAGGUCUUAAUUGCGGCAUGCAGG